rnacentral:rRNA from 1 species
UUUUUCUUAGUGGCGGACGGGUGAGUAACACGUGAGCAACCUGCCCUUCAGAGCGGGAUAACGUUUGGAAACGAACGCUAAUACCGCAUGACAUCCCGGGAUGGCAUCGUUCUGGGAUCAAAGAUUUAUCGCUGAAGGAUGGGCUCGCGUCCGAAUUAGGUUGUUGGUGAGAUAACAGCCCACCAAGCCGAACGAUCGGUAGCCGGACUGAGAGGUUGAUCGGCCACAUUGGGACUGAGACACGGCCCAGACUCCUACGGGAGGCAGCAGUGGGGGAUAUUGCACAAUGGGGGAAAACCCUGAUGCAGCGACGCCGCGUGAGGGAAGACGGUUUUCGGAUUGUAAACCUCUGUCUUUGGGGACGAAUAGAUGACGGUACCCAAGGAGGAAGCCACGGCUAACUACGUGCCAGCAGCCGCGGUAAUACGUAGGUGGCAAGCGUUGUCCGGAAUUACUGGGUGUAAAGGGAGCGUAGGCGGGUUCAACAAGUUGAUUGUAUAAACGAUCGGCUCAACUGGUCGUGGCGAUCAAAACUGUAGAUCUUGAGUGGAGUAGAGGCAGGCGGAAUUCCUAGCGUAGCGGUGAAAUGCGUAGAUAUUAGGAGGAACACCAAGUGGCGAAGGCGGCCUGCUGGGCUCUAACUGACGCUGAGGCUCGAAAGCGUGGGUAG